CGGCAACAGCUCAAAUUUGAAAUCUGGCUCCCUCGGGGGUCCGAGUUGUAAUUUGCAGAGGGUGCUUCGGGUGUGGCCCCGGUCUAAGUUCCUUGGAACAGGACGUCACAGAGGGUGAGAAUCCCGUACGUGCCCGGUGGCCGCGCCCGUGUGAAGCUCUUUCGAC
rnacentral:rRNA from 1 species